AUUGAACGCUGGCGGCAGGCCUAACACAUGCAAGUCGAGCGGAUGAAGGGAGCUUGCUCCUGGAUUCAGCGGCGGACGGGUGAGUAAUGCCUAGGAAUCUGCCUGGUAGUGGGGGAUAACGUCCUGAAACGGGCGCUAAUACCGCAUACGUCCUGAGGGAGAAAGUGGGGGAUCUUCGGACCUCACGCUAUCAGAUGAGCCUAGGUCGGAUUAGCUAGUUGGUGGGGUAAAGGCCUACCAAGGCGACGAUCCGUAACUGGUCUGAGAGGAUGAUCAGUCACACUGGAACUGAGACACGGUCCAGACUCCUACGGGAGGCAGCAGUGGGGAAUAUUGGACAAUGGGCGAAAACCUGAUCCAGCCAUGCCGCGUGUGUGAAGAAGGUCCUCGGAUUGUAAAGCACUUUAAGUUGGGAGGAAGGGCAGUAAGUUAAUACCUUGCUGUUUUGACGUUACCAACAGAAUAAGCACCGGCUAACUUCGUG
rnacentral:rRNA from 1 species